AUAAAAAAUAUUUUCAGAGGAUUUCAAUAAAAUUUUAUGUGGACUCUAAUGAAAUGUCAAAAAUAAAUUGUUGUGUGGUAAGUUGUUCCUAACAGGAAUUUAAAGGAAGAAUCAUCAGUCCAAUGCUCCUUGAAUGAGAAAAGAGGACGACAGGAAAAUCGAGGUCGUAUCUUUUGUUUAUUAAAACUGGUCAUCAUUUUAAAAAGUUCAUCAACCGUUAUCAGAUUCUAGCUUGACGUAUCCGGGACAAAUUACUACGAAAAAUUCUUGGAGUUGUUCGUCCUGAUGCGGUCCCGGGUUCUCAAAAUGCAGAUCGACCACAAUGAAAAUGAAGAACAAUGAAUUCAGGCCAUUCUCCCUAAGUAAUAAACGGAAGUUAACGGGAAGUGAAGAAAAGAAUCAAAGGAUUUUUUUACUGACGUUCUCGACAAUGAAAAACGAAAAUAACAAGUUGAAACACGAUUCAAGUAUACAGUAGUUUAUUCAUCUAAACCAG